rnacentral:lncRNA from 1 species
AUGGCUACGCCAGGUAGGAGACCUGCGCUAACUUCCUGUGCUUACCGGGGGGCUAAAGAGACUGGGCAGGCACCGUGUUAUGCUAUGGAGCGCACGGUGUCUCCAGUGCGGGUGCAUAGCCCGGUGCGGUACAUACCAGCUCUUCGUAUUGGCCGGGCUAGAGUGGGCAUCGAGCCAGAUCAGGUUGGGCAGGCUCAGUGCUCAAGAGCUCCAGUGCGCCUGCACGGUCCGGUCUAUCCAGUGCCACCACCUCCACACACCAGUCCUCCGGUGGCAGCUCCCCGCACCAGGCUUCCUGCGCCAGAGCUGACAGUCUGCAUGGAGCAGCCAGAGCUGCUAGUCUGCAUGGAGCAGCCAUCGCUGACAGUCUGCAUGGAGCAGCCAGAGCUGCCUGUCUGCAUGGAGCAGCUAGAGCCGCCGGUCAGCCAGGAUCUUCCAGAUCCGCCAGUCAGCCAGGAUCCGCCAGUCAGCCAGGAUCUUCCAGAUCCGCCAUUCAGCCAGGAUCCACCAUUCAGCCAGGAACCGCCAGUCAGCCAUGACCUUCCAGAUCCGCCAGUCAGCCAGGAUCCACCAGUCAGCCAGGAUCUUCCAGAUCCGCCAGUCAGCCAGGAUCUGCCAGAACCACCAGCUAGCCAGGAUCCGCCAGUCAGCCAGGAUCUGCCAGAACCACCAGCUAGCCAGGAUCUGCCAGAGCCUACUACCUGCCUGAGUUUCCUCUCAGUACUGGGCUUCCUCUCGGUACUAGGCAUCCUCUCGGUGCUGAGCUUCCCCUCAGUGCUGAGCUUCCCCUCAGUGCUGAGCUUCCCCUCAGUGCUGAGCUACCCCUCAGUCCCGAGCUACCCCUCAGUCCCGAGCUUCCCCUCAGUCCCGAGCUUCCCCUCAGUCCCGAGCUUCUACCUCAGUCCCGAGCUGCCCCUCAGUCCAGUGGGGUCCUUGGUGAGGGUUAUUAGGCCAAGGUCGGCGGCGAGGGUCGCCAAUCAAAGGACGUGUUACAGGGGGAGUAAGACUUGGUUGGAGUGGGGUCCACGUCCCGAGCCGGAGCCGCCACCGUGGACAGACGCCCACCCGGACCCUCCCCUAUGGGUUUUAGUGUGCGGCCGGGAGUCCGCACCUUGGGGGGGGGGUUCUGUCACGCCCUGGUCUUAG